rnacentral:lncRNA from 1 species
CGCUGGACCGGCCGCUACAGUCUACUAGAAGGGGGUAGUGUGUUCAGCGGCGGCACGCGCCAUGCAUUGCCGUGAGGCGGCAAGUGCGCAAAGGUCCGCCACUU